rnacentral:rRNA from 1 species
GUGGGGAAUCUUGCGCAAUGGGCGAAAGCCUGACGCAGCCAUGCCGCGUGAAUGAUGAAGGUCUUAGGAUUGUAAAAUUCUUUCACCGGGGACGAUAAUGACGGUACCCGGAGAAGAAGCCCCGGCUAACUUCGUGCCAGCAGCCGCGGUAAUACGAAGGGGGCUAGCGUUGCUCGGAAUUACUGGGCGUAAAGGGCGCGUAGGCGGACAGUUUAGUCAGAGGUGAAAGCCCAGGGCUCAACCUUGGAAUUGCCUUUGAUACUGGCUGCCUUGAGUACGGGAGAGGUGAGUGGAACUCCGAGUGUAGAGGUGAAAUUCGUAGAUAUUCGGAAGAACACCAGUGGCGAAGGCGACUCACUGGCCCGUUACUGACGCUGAGGCGCGAAAGCGUGGGGAGCAAACAGGAUUAGAAACCCCGGUAGUCC